rnacentral:lncRNA from 1 species
GCAGGGCUGAAUGGUCGCUGAGACAGAGAUGGAAGCCAGGACAAGGGAGCCCACCGGGCCCAGAUAGAGACUUCAGAACCCACUCCUGAGAACAGCGGAGCCAGGCGCUUAGAGGAAGACCAAAUGCUGCCAGGACACGGAUUGUCCAGGAUUACAUUCCAGCAUCUUAUUAGAUGGCCUGAUUAGCCAGAGGUUUCCAGGCCGUCUGUCCGCCUCCAGGAGAUGGACUGGGACCUUUAGACAUCGGUGGAGAACAGGAUGCUCUGUCCCUUGCUGUCCAGGGCAGGGAUGGCCUCCAGCCGCAAGAAGUACAGCAGCACCUCGACCUGCCCUCGCGGAGUGGGGAAGAGGAGAGUGGC